rnacentral:lncRNA from 1 species
UGGAUUAAAUAAGGGCAAUGGUGGUGGUAGUGCAAAUUCAUCCGGUGGCAUAUUUGGUUGAUCGGUACUUGGUGGGGAAAAUAUUGGGAUUAAUGGUGGUGAAGGUGUAAAUUCAUCAUCUGGUGAUGGCAUAUCUGGUUCUGUUGGUGGAUCAAAUAUUGGAAUUAAUGGCGGUGCUGGUGUAAACUCAUCAUCUGGUGGGACGUCUGGCUCUGUUGGUGGAUCAAAUAUAG